rnacentral:rRNA from 1 species
UACAGAGGAGCCAAGCGUUGUCCGGAUUUACUGGGCGUAAAGAGCGCGCAGGCGGUCAGAUAAGUCGAAUGUGAAAGCCCCCGGCUCAACUGGGGAGGGUCAUUCGAUACUGUUCGACUCGAAGGCAGGAGAGGGAAGCGGAAUUCCCGGUGUAGUGGUGAAAUGCGUAGAUAUCGGGAGGAACACCAGUGGCGAAGGCGGCUUCCUGGCCUGUUCUUGACGCUGAGGCGCGAAAGCUAGGGGAGCAAACGGG